rnacentral:lncRNA from 1 species
GGGCAACCUGAUGAAACUGGGGAGGAGAUGAACCAGGAAACACACCUCAAUGUUCAAGAUCCCAAUGUACAAGUAUACAAGAGGAGGAGCAAGGAAGAGGACGAAGCUCGUGAUCAAAUAGGAAUGAAUCUUAACAGUCAACAGUAAGGAAAGAAGCAUGAUUGGAAAGAAGGAGACCCACCAACACCACGAAUUAAGUGGCCAAAAUCAGAUUGUAAGAAAGAAUGGAUCCAGUUUCAUGAAUAUACAUCAAAAGUUUUACAGCAUUAGCAGGAGAUGUAUAUAGAAAAAAGCGACCUUAAUCUUUGCAAUGAUGAAAGUUAUGUUCAGAAUAGAAGAACAGACAAAGGUCAAAGUCAGGCAAUGAAAGAAAACAGAAAAGCGAAAUGCCAAACUGAGGAGAGAACAACGCAACUUUACAAAGUGUUACAAUAAGCAGAUACAUGAACGAGAGGUAUUAAAAGAACUAAGAGAUGUCAACAGGAAAAGAGUACAAACGCUGAAAAGAACAGAAAACUUAAGGAAUCGAAGGAGCACAAAAGAGAACUCAACUUACAGCUAUAAAUCCAUUUGGCUUUGUAAAGACACAUGUUGGAUAUAAAAGAUCAGGCCAAUUCGAUUGCCCAUAAAGAAGAGGUUGAACAUUAUUUAGGAGAUAUCCACAGCGAUGCCGAAAGACAAAGAGAUCUUGGAGACCAACGAAGAUUGAUAAGUCCAGAUUAGCCAACAGUAGAGUUUGAUAUGUCGGAACACAAAAAUCAUAAAAUGAUGUCAACUUGAAAGAAAACGAGAGACAUAAGCAUAAUAGAAAUAAGCACACAAUGAACAACAUCACACGUCACACAUACAACAUUAACAAAGACAGAACUAAGCACACAUAAUCAACACUACCUAGAAAACAUUAACAAAGAUAAAAAAACAAACACGCAAUAUCCAAUAUCACCUCGAUUACACAAACUGAAACAAACAUGCAAACAUUCGCAUCACUUUAACAACAGAAACAAAGACAGAAACAAGCACACAAUUACCAAAAUCGCCGACACAACAAAAACAAGCACAUAAUAAGCAACAAGGCCAAACACAAUCAACUUGAUCGCGACACAACAAACAAAGACAGAAACGAAAAGGCAAUGACUAACAUAACCGAGACAAAACAAAACAAGACAGAAACAAACAAGCAAUAACCAACAUCACCGAGACAAC